UCACUCUCUCAUCCAAUCGGUAUGUACCUGUAUCUUCUGUGACAUCACAACAUUCGCUCUCCCUCUCGCUCUUCCUCAAACUCUUUGCUCUCUCUCUUCCUCUCUCACUCUAUCUCUCACUCUUUCUCUCUUGUCCAAUCUCAAUAUGUUGUGAUGUCAUAUGGACCUCCCAAGCAUAAUAUAUCCCCGUACUAUUAUCUUUAUCUCCCUUUUCUGAAGUGAUGCAAAGUCUCCUCGGAAUGAAAUUCUUCACAACAUCGAGCCGGUCUUCAACUACUCGGCCAUCAGAAUAGGCGACUAUAAACUACACUACGGCGCUCUCUCUGCGCAUUACUCCGGAUGGUAUCCACCAGAAGGAGAGACUUUUAACGAGACAAAGCGAGUUCCAAACGCCUUUGUGGUGAGCUGUCCUUCUAAGCAGACUAACGCCUCCACCAACUGCGACUAUGAGAAUCACCAGCCUUGUCUCUAUAACAUCAGGGAGGAUCCCUGUGAAUUCAACAAUAUAGCAGACUGGAACCAAGCUAUUGUUGAUAUAAUGACGCUAAGACUUGAGCUGUACCGUCAAACAGCAGUGGAGCCCAGGAACCAGGCAGGAGAUCCGCAGAGCAACCCAAAACUACAUGGAAAUGCUUGGGUACCCUGGAUCACUCCUUAGCAUAUCAGCAUAUCGAGAAGAAAUAUACUCCGAACAAAAUUGUUGAUCAGAAUACUGCCCUCAUGUUUGCAAUCUGACAAGGAAUAGCUGAAAAGUUUGGAUGAAAUGAUCUACCCUGGGUCACUCCAUAGCAUAUUGAGUAGAAAUAUACUCUGAAAAGAAUUGCUCAUCAAAAUACUGCCCUCAUGUUUGCAAUCUGACAAGAAAUACCGGUAGCUGAAAAGUUUGAGUGAAAUGAUCGUAAAUGUUUUGCUUCUCCUUUUUUUAAUGACGAUGAGACUGGAGCACUACCGCUGAACAGCAGUAGAACCACAGAAGUGGGUCACUAUAAGCCAGUACAUAUACUUCUGUGAAACCUGUCUAUAAAGACCACUCAAAGGAGACAAGAAAAGUGGUCUUUUUAGGCAGGUGGUCUUUAUUACAGGUUUCUUUAGUACAGGU